CCUCAAAUUAAACGCCUCCAAGGUGCUGGCCGGGCACAACCCGCGUGGAAUCCUUUGAAAGACCUCCCACAAAAGAAAUCCCCAGGACAUUAACGGAAAGAGAGACAGAAAAGAGGAGUAAUUACGGUGCAUGGGCAACGACAAAAAGGUUUCUAUGGCAUUAGGUGUGUCAUAAGUUGGCCAGGGAUCAGCCAGUGCAUUUAAGUACACACAAACGUGAGGGAGUCCUUGCGCAACAUAAAUACAGUCGCAGUCGCAGAGUCCUUAAGAUGUCGGAGAUUGUGGACACGGAGCUGCUGGUGAACUGCACCAUCCUGGCGGUGCGGCGCUUCGAGCUCAACAGCAUCGUGAAUACCACGCUCCUGAAUAGCUUCAAUCGCACGGAGGUGGUCAGCCUGCUGGCGGGAUUCAUCGAGAACCGGGACAAUCUCGAGAGCAUCGACGAGGCAAAAGACUUUCUCACCGAGUGCCUGUUUCCAUCGCCGACGCGUCCGUACGAGUUGCCAUGGGAGCAGAAAACGAUUUGGGCCAUCGUUUUUGGCCUGAUGAUGUUUGUGGCCAUUGCCGGCAAUGGAAUUGUACUCUGGAUUGUAACAGGACAUCGCAGCAUGAGAACGGUCACAAAUUACUUCCUGCUGAACCUUAGCAUCGCCGACCUGCUCAUGUCCUCGCUGAACUGUGUCUUCAAUUUCAUAUUCAUGGUGAACUCCGAUUGGCCAUUCGGCUCCAUUUAUUGCACCAUCAAUAAUUUUGUGGCCAAUGUCACGGUCUCCACAUCGGUCUUCACACUCGUGGCCAUCAGUUUUGACAGGUACAUCGCCAUUGUGCAUCCGCUGAAGCGUCGCACGUCCCGUCGGAAGGUACGAUUCAUUCUGGUGAUGAUCUGGGCCCUAAGCUGCGUUCUGUCGGCCCCCUGCCUUCUCUACUCCAGCAUCAUGACCAAACACUACUAUAAUGGAAAAUCGCGAACUGUUUGCUUCAUGAUGUGGCCGGAUGGACGCUAUCCCACUUCGAUGACGGACUAUACGUAUAAUCUGAUUAUAUUGGUGCUGACAUAUGGUAUACCCAUGAUUGUGAUGCUCAUCUGCUACUCGCUGAUGGGUCGGGUGCUGUGGGGCAGUCGAUCGAUUGGCGAGAACACGGACCGGCAGAUGGAGUCGAUGAAAUCCAAGCGGAAAGUGGUACGCAUGUUCAUAGCGAUUGUGUCGAUAUUCGCCAUCUGCUGGCUGCCCUACCAUCUGUUCUUCAUCUAUGCGUACCACAAUAAUCAAGUGGCAUCCACAAAGUACGUGCAGCACAUGUAUCUGGGAUUCUAUUGGCUGGCCAUGUCCAACGCCAUGGUGAAUCCCAUCAUCUACUAUUGGAUGAACAAGAGAUUCCGCAUGUACUUCCAACGGAUCAUUUGCUGCUGCUGCGUGAGCUUCAGCCGCCAUCGCUUCGACUCGCCCAAGAGUCGUCUGACGAACAAAAAUAGCUCCCAUCGUCAUACAAGAGCCGAAAACAAGAGCCAGUGGAAGCGCAGCACCAUGGAGACACAGAUCCAGCAGGCGCCGCCGACCACCAACUCCUCGAGGGGGGACAACCGUCGGCCGGUGUCCAUGAAGAGCAGUCUCAACCGCACGGCAGUGGAGUGCAUCAUGGAAAAGCCGGCAGCGGACGAUAAUAGCUCUAACCUCUGUCUAUCCAUCAACAAUAGCUUGGGGGAGCGGCAGCGCGUGAAAAUCAAGUACAUCUCCUGUGACGAGGACAAUAAUCCCGUGGAGAGCGGUCCUCCCAAGCAGCUCUGAUGUUGUUGUCACAUGCCCAGGCCCCCGAAGAGACAAUGAAUUGGUUUCGCUGCAUAAUGUACAUAGAAAUAUCCCCAGAACCAACCCAUAAUAUACCCUGUAGUCAAACUCGAAUUUCCGGUUGUCAACGAAAAGCAGGCGAAAAACUCUUUUCGAAAGAAAAAUCAAUUUGUAAAAAGUACUGUGUAUACUAGAGCCCUGCAUGAACAUGCACACACGGUCGAAUAUACCCUCGAUGCCAGUAACCCAGAGCAAGAACGCGACUGAACCGACCACAUGAGCAUCGCUGCUAAAGAGCGAAAGAGAGAGAGAGGGGCAUUGUGUUGUUUUGCCUUCACGUAUUUAUCAACCGACAGAUCAACCCCGAAGGCAAAAACAAUUUUGCAUCGUUUGUCUUCGCCUUUGCGAAAAGCAACAACACUUUCGCUCUCGGGGCGAUGAUUGCAUACACGAGUAUUGGUACUCGUAUAUAUUUUGAGUGGUUUAUCAGACUUGCAAGCUCUGAUUCAUCACUCAUUCUUUUCGAGUGGGGAAGUUCAUGCAGGGCCUGUCUACCAUCAUCACCAUCGAAGAGCUGUAAGAUUUUAAUUGUUGUAAACAUUUUAGGCUAAGCCAUGUUUUAUGUACAUACAUAUAUAAAUAUAUAUAUCUGAUAAUUGAUA
rnacentral:misc_RNA from 1 species